AUACGUAGGGUGCAAGCGUUAAUCGGAAUUACUGGGCGUAAAGCGUGCGCAGGCGGUUUUGUAAGAAAGAGGUGAAAUCCCCGGGCUCAACCUGGGAACUGCCUUUGUGACUGCAAGGCUAGAGUACGGCAGAGGGGGAUGGAAUUCCGCGUGGAGCAGUGAAAUGCGUAGAUAUGGGGAGGAACACCGUAGGCGAAGGCAAUCACCUGGGCCUGUACAGACGCUCGUGCCCGAAAGCGUGGGGAGCAAAAAGGGUUAGAAACCCUUUUAGUCCACGCCCUAAACGAUGUCAACUGGUUGUUGGGUCUUCAUUGACUCAUUAACGAAGCUAACGCGUGAAGUUGACCGCCUGGGGAGUACGGCCGCAAGGUUGAACCUCAAAUGAAUUGACGGU
rnacentral:rRNA from 1 species